GACUUGUAAUAAGGCUAUUGAGUAACAUUUAGGAUUGUAGUUAUUUUGUAAGAAGUAGAAUGGCUGGAUGUUACGAAAGUGCAAUUUGUUAUGAACAUGUAAAAUCUAAAAAUAUCUAUCUUUUUCAAUUAUUCAAUUGCUUUUCACUUGAACUUAUAUUCUUUGUUCUUAUUCUAAAUUUUGUAUUUUAUCUUACUAAAUUCUGAAUCAAACAACGACAGCAGA
rnacentral:lncRNA from 1 species